UCCUGGCUCAGAACACGCUGGCGGCAGGCCUAACACAUGCAAGUCGAACGCCCUAGCAAUAGGGAGUGGCAGACGGGUGAGUAACACGUGGGAACCUUCCCUAUAGUAUGGAAUAGCCCAGGGAAACUUGGAGUAAUACCGUAUACGCCCGAGAGGGGAAAGAUUUAUCGCUAUAGGAUGGGCCCGCGUAGGAUUAGCUAGUUGGUGAGGUAAUGGCUCACCAAGGCGACGAUCCUUAGCCGGUCUGAGAGGACGACCAGCCACACUGGGACUGAGACACGGCCCAGACUCCUACGGGAGGCAGCAGUGGGGAAUAUUGGACAAUGGGCGCAAGCCUGAUCCAGCCAUGCCGCGUGAGUGAUGAAGGCCUUAGGGUUGUAAAGCUCUUUUGCCGGGGACGAUAAUGACGGUACCCGGAGAAUAAGUCCCGGCUAACUUCGUG
rnacentral:rRNA from 1 species